rnacentral:rRNA from 1 species
GGGACCCGCACAAGCGGUGGAGCAUGUGGUUUAAUUCGAAGCAACGCGAAGAACCUUACCAAGUCUUGACAUCCUCCUGACAGCGUAUGUAAUGUAUGUUUCCUUCGGGACAGGAGAGACAGGUGGUGCAUGGUUGUCGUCAGCUCGUGUCGUGAGAUGUUGGGUUAAGUCCCGCAACGAGCGCAACCCUUGUCCUUAGUAGCCAGCACGUGAUGGUGGGCACUCUAGGGAGACUGCCAGGGUGAACCUGGAGGAAGGUGGGGAUGACGUCAAAUCAUCAUGCCCCUUAUGACUUGGGCUACACACGUGCUACAAUGGCGCGAACAAAGGGAAGCGACCCUGUGAAGGCGAGCAAAUCUCAAAAAAGGCGUCUCAGUUCGGAUUGUAGUCUGCAACCCGACUACAUGAAGCUGGAAUCGCUAGUAAUCGCGAAUCAGAAUGUCGCGGUGAAUACGUUCCCGGGUCUUGUACACACCGCCCGUCACACCAUGGGAGUUGGGAAUGCCCGAAGUCAGUGACCCAACCGUAAGGAGGGAGCUGCCGAAGGCAGGCUCGAUGACUGGGGUGAAGUCGUAACAAGGUAGC